GACGAACGCUGGCGGCGUGCCUAAUACAUGCAAGUCGAACGAGUUGCGAACGGGUGAGUAACGCGUGUUAACCUGCCUCAUAGCGGGGGAUAACUACUGGAAACGGUAGCUAAUACCGCCUACCAUCGCAUUUGGCUGGAGGGGAUUAGCUAGUCGGAGGGGUAACGGCUCACCUAGGCGGCGAUCCCUAGCUGGUCUGAGAGGAUGACCAGCCACACGGGAACUGAGACACGGUCCAGACGCCUACGGGAGGCAGCAGUAGGGAAUAUUGGACAAUGGGCGCAAGCCUGAUGCAGCCAUGCCGCGUGUAUGAAGAAGGCAUUCGGGUUGUAAAGUACUUUCAGUGAGGAGGCGUUACUCGCAGAAGAAGCACCGGCUAACUCCGUGCCAGCAGCCGCGGUAAUUC
rnacentral:rRNA from 1 species